GGAGAAGAGCUGUGGCUCAGUGGUCAGAGCAUCUGCUUAGCAUGCGGAAGCUCGCAGGUUCAAUUCCUGGCAUCUCCA